rnacentral:misc_RNA from 1 species
AAUUCUCAACCCCCCUAUUUUGUAAUGAGAUGGGUUAAGGGGCUUGGUUAUGGCUGCCUGCAGGACUUUAAUCAGUCCGGCUCAGCUGAAAUACACGAGUUGCCUCUAUUACAAUUAAGCUUGACGGCUUGACUCGGCGUAAUAAUUUUAAUCGCUGGGAACGUCUCGACAAUUGUUAAUUAGAUGGUGCUUCUAAUCUUAUAACAUUUUAAGC